AGAGUUUGAUCCCAGCUCAGGAUGAACGCUAGCGGUGCGCUUAACACAUGCAAGUCGUGCGAUCGAACCAGACGGAUUUUCCUUCGGGAACUGAAGACUGGUCACGGAGCGGCGAACUGGUGAGUAACACGUAGCUAACCUGCCCUCUUGACGGGGACAACCUACCGAAAGGAGGCUAAUACCCGAUGUUGUGCGGAGUUGAUGGAUUCCGUACCAAAGACGGUUCUGCCGUCACAAGAGGAGGGGGCUGCGUCCUAUUAGCUUGUUGGUAGGGUAAUGGCCUACCAAGGCAAUAAUGGGUAGCUGGUCUGAGAGGAUGAUCAGCCACAUUGGGACUGAGAUACGGCCCAGACUCCUACGGGAGGCAGCAGUGGGGAAUAUUGGACAAUGGACGAAAGUCCGAUCCAGCGACACCGCGUGGGGGAUGAAGGCUUUCGGGUCGUAAACCCCUUUUCUGGGGGAAGAAUAAGGUUGGGAGGAAAUGCCCAUCCGAUGACGGUACUCCAGGAAUAAGCAUCGGCAAACUUCGUGCCAGCAGCCGCGGUAAGACGAGGGAUGCAAGCGUUAUCCGGAAUUACUGGGCGUAAAGGACGUCUAGGCGGUUGGAUAAGUCAUUUGUGAAAUCCCAGGGCUUAACCCUGGAAGGUCUUGUGAUACUGUCCAGCUUGGGUGUAGGAGAGGAGAGCGGAACUCACAGAGUAGCGGUGGAAUGCGUAGAUACUGUGAGGUACCCCGAUGGCGAAGGCAGCUCUCUGGCCUAUUACCGACGCUGAAGCGUGGAAGCGUGGGGAGCAAAGGGGAUUAGAUACCCCCGUAGUCCACGCCCCAAACGAUGUUCACUUGGUGUCGGGAGCCUAUAUAUCUCGGUGCCGGAGCUAACGCGUUAAGUGAACCGCCUGAGGAGUACGGCCGCAAGGCUAAAACUCAAGAGAAUUGACGGGUCCCCGCACAAGCGGUGGAGCACGUGGUUUAAUUCGACGAUAAGCGAAGAACCUCACCUGGGCUUGACAUACUAGUGGUAAGAACCGGAAACGGUGAUGACCCUGCCUUCGGGUAGGGAGCUAAUACAGGUGAUGCAUGGCUGUCGUCAGCUCGUGUCGUGGGAUGUAGGGUUAAGUCCCGAAACGAGCGCAACCCUUGUCACUAGUUGCCAGCGGAUAAUGCCGGGGACUCUAGUGAGACUGCUGGUGAAUAGCCGGAGGAAGGCGGGGAUGACGUCAAGUCAUCA
rnacentral:rRNA from 1 species